rnacentral:tRNA from 1 species
AGAAUAGUUAAAUGAAGCUUCUAACUUCUAAUAUAGCGGUAGCUACUGUUUAU